rnacentral:misc_RNA from 1 species
GGCGGUAUGGACAUCGAGAAGGUGGCGCACGACACGCCGGAGAAGAUCGUGACGUUCUCCGUCGAUCCGGCGACCGGCGUGAUGGCGCAUCACGGCCGCAAGGUUGCGCAGGUUCUGGGCCUGAGCGGCGAUCUCGCCAAGCAGGCGGAGAAACUCACCGCGCAACUUUACAACGCCUUCCUGUCCACCGACAUGGCGAUGCUGGAGAUC